rnacentral:rRNA from 1 species
UACGUAGGGCGCGAGCGUUGUCCGGAAUUAUUGGGCGUAAAGAGCUCGUAGGCGGCCUGUUGCGUCCGCUGUGAAAUCCCAGGCUCAACCCUGGCGUGCAGUGGAUACGGGCAGGCUGGGGCAGGCAGGGGAGAACGGGAAUUCCCGGUGUAGCGGUGAAAUGCGCAGAGUAUCAGGAGGAACACCGAUGGCGAAGGCAGGUCUCUGGGCCACUGACUGACGUGAGAAGCGAAAGCAUGGGGAGCGAACAGG